AUCCCGUAUGUUACAAAUGUGUGCUGCCCUCUACAGGAGGGUGGUGACAGGAACUUAAUACGCCGUGAAUCCACAGAAACGUUGGGAGAGAAGUUGCAUAAGAGUUCAUUCAUCGUUCAUCUCCCGGUGGAACCGGUUCACUCACUGGAGUUAUGUGGAAGAUAAUGUGUCACCAACGGACAAUUAGCAGCUGAUAGUUCAUACCGGACAGGUGCCCUGAGCGCAGGCUGACACACGAUGAGGCAGGAGAGGAAGGUGGUGCCUGAUGAGGGGAAACGGGCCGAUGAGAUGCAGUGGGUUUAGGCAGAACCAGACUAGUCACACAUUCAUCUGGGCUUCUCGUGCAUGACAGUUAAACAUCAACUCGUCUGUAAAGUACUACGUUCUCCACUGAGCUUGAACGCAACGCAACACAGGAAUCAAAAGUCAACGCUGUUCCUCCGGAUGAAUGAAUCACGUCACCUUCCGUCUCCUCCCACCACCGCAGCAGUUAUGCAUCCGUCCACAUAUGACCAGAGUUUAACCAGAGAAAAGUUCGUUACUAAAACUAUUGCUGCUUCCUCUUCCCCCCACAGACCUUCCUGCAGAGAACGGCUAAGCUGUGGAGACUCAGUCACAAGUGGUGAAAUGAGAGGGAUCCAUUUAAGUUGUUUACUGGAACUUUGAGUAAGUUACUGGACGUUAUGUAACUGAAUUAUACAGAAAACCUCCGUCCUGUGGGAAACAAACAAGAUUAAAUCAGAUUAUCAACAGCUCAAUGACUCACGAGAAGCCGCCACACAAACCGUGGCAGACUCACAUGAAGGCUCAUGAUGCUGAGCAUCAGGCAAAUCAUGCAGUGGGUUCUUGUAUCACCUGAUAUGUAUGUGUGUCAGUGUUUGGCUCGUCCUUUUAGAAGCUAUUAGUCACUGGAAUCGCUGGUCCUGCAGCUUGUAGCAACGUUUAUUAACAUUUGUAUUCAAAACCACAAAGAAUAAAACUCCUGGAGCUUCAGAUGAA